UUGCUUUGUCAACAUAUAUACUAAAAUUAGAAUAAUACAGAGAAACUUAGCAUGGGUCCCAGGAAGAAUGAAAUAUAAAAUUCACCAAGCGUUGCUCCAUAUAUUU
rnacentral:snRNA from 1 species